AGCUCCAGUAGCGUAUGCUAAAGUUGUUGCAGUUAAAAAGCUCGUAGUCGGACUUCGACUGUAUUGGCUGUUAGCUCAGUCAUUCGAGAGGUCACGGACCCGCCGGGACGGCGUUGCGUCCGUCUCUCUACAGUCGUCAUCUCUCGGAAGCUCGCCCUGCACUUCAUUGUGUGGGGAGCGUGCGCUCUCGGGCGCCGAGCUCCGGGUCGUUCGCCGUGAAGAAACUUGAGUGCUCAAAGCAAGCUAUUUCGCCCGAAAAUUUCAGCAUGGGACGAAGGAAUAGGCUCGCAUGCCCGAUUCCGCCGGUCUUGGGGUUUUGAUGCGAGAAUGGUCGAGAGGGGCGAUCGGGGGCACUCGUACCCGGCGGUCAGAGGUGAAAUUCUUGGAUUCGCGGGAGACG
rnacentral:rRNA from 1 species